CCUACGGGGGGCAGCAGUGAGGAAUAUUGGUCAAUGGACGCAAGUCUGAACCAGCCAUGCCGCGUGCAGGAUGACGGCUUUCGGGUUGUAAACUUCUUUUAAGAGGGAAGAGUAGAAGACGGUACCUCUUGAAUAAGCCACGGCUAACUACGUGACAGCAGCCGCGGUAAUACGUAGGUGGCAAGCGUGGUUCGGAUUUACUGGGUGUAAAGGGCGUGUAUCCGGGCCGGCAAGUCAGAUGUGAAAUCCCAAGGCUCAACCUUGGAACUGCAUUUGAAACUGUUGGUCUUGAGUAUCGGAGAGGCAGGUGGAAUUCCUAGUGUAGCGGUGAAAUGCGUAGAUAUUAGGAGGAACACCAGUGGCGAAGGCGGCCUGCUGGACGACAACUGACGGUGAGGCGCGAAAGCGUGGGGAGCAAACAGGAUUAGAUACCCUUGUAGUC
rnacentral:rRNA from 1 species